UAGGGAAUCUUCGGCAAUGGACGAAAGUCUGACCGAGCAACGCCGCGUGAGUGAAGAAGGUUUUCGGAUCGUAAAACUCUGUUGUUAGAGAAGAACAAGGACGUUAGUAACUGAACGUCCCCUGACGGUAUCUAACCAGAAAGCCACGGCUAACUACGUGCCAGCAGCCGCGGUAAUACGUAGGUGGCAAGCGUUGUCCGGAUUUAUUGGGCGUAAAGCGAGCGCAGGCGGUUUCUUAAGUCUGAUGUGAAAGCCCCCGGCUCAACCGGGGAGGGUCAUUGGAAACUGGUAGACUUGAGUGCAGAAGAGGAGAGUGGAAUUCCAUGUGUAGCGGUGAAAUGCGUAGAUAUAUGGAGGAAAACCAGUGGCGAAGGCGGCUCUCUGGUCUGUAACUGACGCUGAGGAGCGAAAGCGUGGGGAGCAAACAGG
rnacentral:rRNA from 1 species